rnacentral:rRNA from 1 species
UACAGAGGGCGCGAGCGUUGUCCGGAAUCACUGGGCGUAAAGGGCGCGUAGGUGGCCACUAUAAGGCCGCGGUGAAAGUUCGGGGCUCAACCCUGAAUCGGCCGCGGCGACUGUAGGGCUUGGGCACUGUAGAGGCAGAUGGAAUUCCGGGUGUAGCGGUGGAAUGCGUAGAGAUCCGGAAGAACACCGGUGGCGAAGGCGGU